UAUAAUGAAGCAUGAAACGUUGUUAUUGAACGAGAUAGAAAAUAAAAAAGAAAUCGGAAUAAAUAAAUCGUCCAGUGUGAUAAGAAAAAAGAAAAAAUUAUCGGAUAGAAAUGAGGGAAUAAAAACUGAAUUAUUGAACUCCGAUCGAUUAGCAUUAAGUGUGAUCGUUAUACGAAUUCGAUUACAUUCGUAAUUAAAUUAUUUACGAAUAAUUUAAUUUCAAUCGUGUGGUAUACCCAUACUGAAAUUAGAUAACACAAACUCACGAUAUAAAGGAGACGUAUGUAGGUAGAGAAACGACCUUGAGUUAACGGGUUAAGGACGACUUCAGCUAAAUGGGCCAUUGGCUGCUUCGACGAUCAACGUCCAUCUCAAAGGAGGCAGCUGUCAGUGGAAAAAAAGAAAAAGAAAAGAAAGGAAAGGAAAAAGACAAAAAGUUCCCAACCAGCUAGUUCAAUCCCAUGGACGAAAGAAUUUUUAGGGUUUCCAUUGAUAUAAAGGAUUAUGUUUCGAAGGGCAAGACUUUUACGUUUAAACUUACCUGGGUUUUGAACUUUAAAAAUAAUAAAACUCAAAGCACAGGUAAACACAUUUAUUUUCUAAUAAAUUUCGGAGUUUUGCUAUAUAAUAUAUGCGCUUACUUGCUAGUUAUUUAUCAGUACCUAUCAGAAUCUACCAAAACCUCAGAUUUAUGGUAUAUACUUAUUAAGACUUUUC